rnacentral:rRNA from 1 species
AAGAACGCUGGCGGCAGGCCUAACACAUGCAAGUCGAACGAUAAGCUUCUUCGGAAGUGGACAGUGGCAGACGGGUGAGUAACGCGUGGGGAUCUGCCCAGAGGUUCGGGACAACCAUUGGAAACGAUGGCUAAUACCGGAUAAGCCCGCAAGGGGAAAGAUUUAUUGCCUUUGGAUGAACCCGCGUAGGAUUAGCUAGUUGGUGAGGUAUGGCUCACCAAGGCUACGAUCUUUAGCUGGUCUGAGAGGAUGAUCAGCCACAUUGGGACUGAGACACGGCCCAGACUCCUACGGGAGGCAGCAGUGGGGAAUAUUGCGCAAUGGGGGAAACCCUGACGCAGCCAUGCCGCGUGAGUGACGAAGGCCUUAGGGUUGUAAAGCUCUUUCGCUAGGGAAGAUAAUGACGGUACCUAGUAAAGAAGCCCCGGCUAACUCCGUGCCAGCAGCCGCGGUAAUACGGAGGGGGCUAGCGUUGUUCGGAAUCACUGGGCGUAAAGCGCGCGUAGGCGGAUUGAUUAGUUGGGGGUGAAAUCCCGGAGCUCACCUCCGGAACUGCCUUCAAUACUGUCAGUCUU